rnacentral:rRNA from 1 species
AACGAACGCUGGCGGCAUGCCUAACACAUGCAAGUCGAACGAGACCUUCGGGUCUAGUGGCGCACGGGUGCGUAACGCGUGGGAACAUGCACUUAGGUUCGGAAUAACUCCCCGAAAGGGGUGCUAAUACCGGAUAAUGUCUUCGGACCAAAGAAUUGUCGCCUUUGGAUGGGCCCGCGUGGGAUUAGCUAGUUGGUAGGGUAAAAGCCUACCAAGGCGACGAUCCAUAGCUGGUCUGAGAGGAUGAUCAGCCACACUGGGACUGGGACACGGCCCAGACUCCUACGGGAGGCAGCAGUGGGGAAUAUUGGACAAUGGGCGAAAGCCUGAUCCAGCAAUGCCGCGUGAGUGAUGAAGGCCUUAGGGUUGUAAAGCUCUUUUACCCGGGAUGAUAAUGACAGUACCGGGAGAAUAAGCUCCGGCUAACUCCGUG